GUGGGGAAUCUUCCGCAAUGGACGAAAGUCUGACGGAGCAACGCCGCGUGAGUGAUGAAGGUCUUCGGAUUGUAAAGCUCUGUUAAUCGGGACGAAAGAGCCUAGUGUGAAUAAUGCUAGGAAGUGACGGUACCGGAAUAGAAAGCCACGGCUAACUACGUGCCAGCAGCCGCGGUAAUACGUAGGUGGCAAGCGUUGUCCGGAAUUAUUGGGCGUAAAGCGCGCGCAGGCGGAUCUGCAAGUCUGUCUUAAAAGUUCGGGGCUUAACCCCGUGAUGGGAUGGAAACUACAGAUAUAGAGUAUCGGAGAGGAAAGUGGAAUUCCUAGUGUAGCGGUGAAAUGCGUAGAUAUUAGGAAGAACACCAGUGGCGAAGGCGACUGUCUGGUCGAAAACUGACGCUGAGGCGCGAAAGCCAGGGGAGCGAACGGGAUUAGAUACCCUUGUAGUCC
rnacentral:rRNA from 1 species